GCUUUGAUGGGAUUUGGGGACAAAGGAGCCCCGCUUUUGGCGGGAUUUGGGGACAAAAGAGCCCUUCCUGGCUUUCCCUACUUGGACUACGCAGAAAACCCAGAGAAAGAACUUCACAUUUGAAAUUCCUCUGAUCUUCAGAUGGAGGCAUGGAGCUGGGAAAUUCUUCCCUUUGAAGCCACGCCUCUCGUGGACCCAGGAAAGAGAAGUUUCUUUAAUACAGUCGCUCACUCCCAUUCACAGAAGAAGGCAAAGGGGAGCUGGCAUGUGCAGAAAUCACAUGGCAAGAAAGGAAGCAAAAGACAGAGGAGAGGUACCAGGCUCUUUUUAACAGCCAGCCAGCUCUUGAGAAAACUAAAGGGGUUCAAUCACAAAGAAGAACGGGACAGAGCUAGAGAACAGAAAGCCUCUUUUGGUGACUCAAGUGUGCAGAAGGUAAUCAACUCUUCCUAAAUAUCAGACACAGGAUCUCUCUACGUUUCCCAGGCUGGUCUCGAACUUCUGAGCUCAAGCAGUUCUCCUGCCUUAGCUUCCCAAAAUGUGAGUAAAACAGGCAUAAACUACCAUGCCUGAACAGUAUUGUUUUUGAUUUUUUGCUAUUAAAAACUAGAACAGUAUUUGAUUUUGUUAUUUCAGAAACACACAGCAAUGUAACCUGUAGAAAGCAAACAAUUUGCCUUUUUAAAAAAGAAUUCCAAG
rnacentral:lncRNA from 1 species